rnacentral:lncRNA from 1 species
CUCGAAGCCAGAUAUGGCACAGCCAAUAGGACCAAAAUUUUUGAACUUAAAAGAGAACUCUCUAAUUCUUCUCAAGGACCUCUAGAUAUAGCAUCCUAUUUUAACAAACUCAAAGGGUUAUGGGAUGAGUUAGGAGCAGUCUGCACAAAUCAUGGCCAAAGAUGUAUUUGUGCUGCCAAACCUGGCAUUUCCUGGUUGACUGCCUCUCUGUCUCCUCAACUAGCCGAGAGUGUUCAAUAUUCUGAGACUGCACAGAGUAUAUGGGCACAACUCGAAGCCAGAUAUGGCACAACCAAUAAAACACACAUAAAACUUCUACACCUUCUUUCAGUCAAGCUGCAUUGCCCAACUCUUCUCCUCUUAGACAGUAUGCCCAGAGAGUUACUUUUGAUCAAUCCAGAGGACCUCUCUUCUGUAGAUAUUGCAAGAAGUCUGGGAACUUAAUUGAUAAGUGUUACAAACUUCAUGGAUUUCCUCAAAUAAUCAGGUUUAACAAAGGAAAGAGACCUACUGCUGCCCAUGACACCACUGGUGUUGAUUUCACCUCAUUCCCUUCUUCUGAUGGACACAAUUCUCAUGCUUCUGGAAAUCAUAUUGAGGGUCAUUCAUCUGUCCAACAUGUAGAUGGACAUGGUUCUGCAAUUCCUGGAUUGAGCAUGCAACAUUGUGAUCAAUUGAUGAAUCUGCUGCAACAUUCCAAAUUGGGUGACUCCACUGCUCAGACUUCUCCUGCUCAGACCUCUCCUACUAUGUGUGCUNNNNNNNNNNNNNNNNNNNNNNNUCAGACUUCUCCUGCUCAUACCUCUCCUCCUAUGUGUGCUGCCAACUUUGCUGGUACUAUGCUUACUGAGAGUCCUGUUUCUGAUUCCAAACUCUAUCUACUUACUCAUAUUGCUUCUGUCUCCUGGAUAAUAGAUUCAGGGGCUUCUGAUCACAUGACAUCUAAUAAGAACUUACUCUUCAAUAUCACACAUUUACUUGUGCCUUAUAAAAGUGACUUCAACUGGAUCUUUUGCUUUAACUCCCACCAUUACUCUUCAUAAUGUACUAUUUGUUCCAUCUUUCAAACACAAUUUAAUUUCUGUCCACAAGCUAGUGAAACAGUUGCACUGUAUUGUCUUGUUUACUGCAACUUCUUGUU